CUUUAUACAUACAUAUGCGCGCGCGCAACGGUAAAUUUUAUCACUCAAUUAUAUAAUUAUGAACCACCAAACACGCACACGCCCCACACACCAUAUGCUAUGACAUACUAUAUAUAUAUGUACUUAAGUUAUUCUAAGGAAAGGAAAAGGUGGUAAAAACAAACAUGUGAUAAUACUUAUUGACAUCAGCAAUCGAGCCAUUGCGGUAAAUACAACCGCGAUCACCGCGAGGAAAACAGCAGAGAAAACUCGCUAUUGAUUUGAAAGUGAAACCACGCUUUAUAGAAAAGUAUCCUCCAACAGUAUUAGGAGGCCACAGUCGCGCAAGCGCUCUCCAAGGGAGAGUGGAUUUUUAUUCUUUUUAAAGUGUGUAAUAGAGGAACUGGCCACAGAUUGCGAUAUAUCCGUCAAAGGAUGAUGAACUGGGGCCUGACAGUUAUGCUUUUGGCGGCACUUACCUGUGUGUUUAAGUGCGAGGACGGAUCCGAUGCUGAGGGAUGGAUAGUUGAGAGUACAGACUAUAACUCACAAGUCAGUUUACUACAAAAGCUCAUAGAAAGUGAAAUGAACAAAGAACGGAGACAAAAACAAUUCGAGGAGGAGAUGGCCCGACUCUAUAUGGAUUCCUCUCCUUCGGAGCUACGACCUGUUCCACGGAAGAAAAGUUACCUCUGGUUCCGAUCGAAAUCGAGCGCAAAUCCCGUUCAAACUGUACAAACACGUGUGUCAAUCGGACAGUCCCUUCACCCGCCACCGGAGGAAACUAACAAACCCAAAGGCUUGUUUCGGUAUGGCAAAAAAUGAGUGAUGCAUUAAGAAAACUUUAUUUAUGUAUUUUUCAUGGUCUGAAGGUAAUCAAAUAUAUGAUGGAAGCGCAUUGCUUUUUGAUAAAUACCCCGCCGCACAAAGAAUGAAUUUACGCCGGAGUUCAAUAAACCCGUCUCUGAUGUACACUAUGCGAUUCUUUGUCCAAAAAUUAUUACAAAAAAUGUUAGAAUCAAAUUUCUUAUUAUUGAAUUCUUCGUUACAAAUAUUCAAAACGAAUGGGAUGAAGUCAUCGUGUUAAAUGUUUUCAUCGAGUUUUGAGAAUUUGUUUUCAUAAAAAUAAGCUCUUGUUCAAUAAUUGUUGGGAGAUAUUUCCGGGUUGAACUGUUUAAUAACUCAAAUCUGUUUUGUCAGUGGUAAACAAUCAUUAUCUAAAUGUAUGUGACAACAAUAUAUAGAACAACUAAUGAAUGUUUUUUUCAUGUUUAUUUUGAAAAUACUACAACAAAUUAAAAUUUUCUGAAUAAUUUUACAAA